rnacentral:rRNA from 1 species
UACGUAGGGUGCAGGCGUUUAAUCGGAAUUACUGGGCGUAAAGCGUGCGCAGGCGGUCUGUUAAGAGAGAUGUGAAAUCCCCGGGCUUAACCUGGGAACUGCGUUUCUAACUGGCAGGCUUGAGUGUGGCAGAGGGGGGUGGAAUUCCACGUGUAGCAGUGAAAUGCGUAGAGAUCAGGAGGAACACCCAUGGCGAAGGCAGCUCUCUGGUCGACCUCUGACGCUGAGACGCGAAAGCGUGGGGAGCGAACGGG